CUUAACUUAACCUUCGGGAGGGCGCUUACCACUUUGUGAUUCAUGACUGGGGUGAAGUCGUAACAAGGUAACCGUAGGGGAACCUGCGGUUGGAUCACCUCCUUA
rnacentral:rRNA from 1 species